AAACCUAGAUAAUGUAAUUUCAGAUAGGAUGGAGAUUCCAGGCAACCCUGCUCCUCAUCCAAACAAUUACCCUUCAGUAAUUCAACAUUUAGAUAUAGAUCAAAUGCUACCGGUGAAAAAGUUUUCAUGUUCUGAUUGCAAUUAUAUGGCUAGAUCUGCAGCAUGCUUAAAACAACACAAAAGAAUCAAGCACGAAGGAGUUAGAUAUCCUUGUGAUGAGUGUGGAUAUGCAGCAACUAUAUCUUCAGAUCUGAGAAAGCACAAACAAAGUAUUCACGAGGGAAUAAAGUAUCCUUGUGAUUUAUGUGAAUUCGCCGCCUCGACACAAAGUAAUUUAAAGCAUCACAAACAGAGUAAACACGAAGGAGUGAGAUUCUAUUGUGAUCAGUGUGAAUAUGGAGCUACUGUAAUAUCUGAUCUUAAGAAACACAAACAAAUAAAACACGAAGGAUUAAGGGUUUAUUGUGAUCAAUGUGAAUACGCUGCCACAACAUCCUCCAACCUGAAGCAACACAAACAAACCAAACACGACGGAAAGCGGUAUUACUGUGAUCAAUGUAGUUACGGCGCUACUCUUCCCUCUGAUCUGAAAAAGCACAAGCAAAGCAAGCACGAUGGUAUACGGUAUCCCUGUACCUUAUGCACAUAUUCUGCAACUACAGUCUCAAAUCUAAAUCAACAUGUGCUAAGUAAACAUAAAGGAUUAAAAUAUUUCUGCAAUAAAUGUGAGUAUUCGACCUCUGCUCAGACAAGUUUAAACGGACACAAGAAGAAAAAACAUGAAUGUAGUUUAUAACUAAGAAUUCUAAAUGUUUUCAUCAAAUGAUUAAAGGGACUGUAAAGGAAAAUGAAAGUCCCUAUAAGUGCAUUGUUCAAUGUCCUCCGUUUAAAGAAUGCCAUAUAGAAUUCCCACCUGGUUUUCGUUCUUUAUCCAAGUAUGGAUGUUGGUUAGGUUUCUAUAAAAAAGUAUUGAUUUUAGGGCAGCUUGUGUAUUUCUGUAGGGAGAUCAAAGUUAUAAUCUUGAGUUACAUGUUUAUAAAAUUCUUGAAAAUGGCACUCUUAGAAUGAAAGGUUACUGAAAAUGAUGUUGUUCAGACUCGUGUAUUAAAUAUAUAUACAAUCUAGCAAUAUUGUAUGUUAUGAAAUAGUAAAAUAAAUGGUAUUUAAUAUAUCGCUUCUUCACUUAAAAUAGUCCUCGAGUUCUUUUAUAAAAAAGAACGAAUAUGUUUAUGAUGUUCUAGGCUCAUGGCUCAAUACCAAGUUAUUGUUAUAUUCAGUAUUCCUAUAUGAAAUAAACCUCGUUUUCCAAA